rnacentral:rRNA from 1 species
GGAGUUAGCCGGUGCUUCUUCUGCGAGUAACGUCACAGAUGUAAGGUAUUAACUUACACCCUUUCCUCCUCGCUGAAAGUGCUUUACAACCCGAAGUCCUUCUUCACACACGCGGCAUGGCUGCAUCAGGGUUUCCCCCAUUGUGCAAUAUUCCCCACUGCUGCCUCCCGUAGGAGUCUGGGCCGUGUCUCAGUCCCAGUGUGGCUGAUCAUCCUCUCAGACCAGCUAGGGAUCGUCGCCUAGGUGAGCCUUUACCUCACCUACUAGCUAAUCCCACCUGGGCUUAUCCAUCAGCGCAAGGCCCGAAGGUCCCCUGCUUUCCCCCGUAGGGCGUAUGCGGUAUUAGCAGUCGUUUCCAACUGUUAUCCCCCACAAAUGGGCAAAUUCCCAGGCAUUACUCACCCGUCCGCCGCUCGUCAUCUUCAAAAGCAAGCUUUUGAAAUGUUACCGCUCGACUUGCAUGUGUUAGGCCUGCCGCCAGCGUUCAAUCUGAGCCAUGAUCAAACUCUGA